rnacentral:tRNA from 1 species
GAGCAUGUACCUAAUGUUGGUAAAGGGGAUACACUGCAAAUGUAUUUUAACAACGGUUCGAUUCCGUUCGUGCUCU